CCUACGGGAGGCAGCAGUGGGGAAUAUUGGGCAAUGGGCGCAAGCCUGACCCAGCAAUGCCGCGUGGGUGAAGAAGGUCUUCGGAUUGUAAAGCCCUUUCGGCGGGGACGAUGAUGACGGUACCCGCAGAAGAAGCCCCGGCUAACUUCGUGCCAGCAGCCGCGGUAAUACGAAGGGGGCUAGCGUUGCUCGGAAUUACUGGGCGUAAAGGGCGCGUAGGCGGCUGUAUCAGUCAGGCGUGAAAUCCCUGGGCUUAACCUGGGGGCUGCGCUUGAUACGAUAUGGCUAGAGGACGGAAGAGGCUCGCGGAAUUCCCAGUGUAGAGGUGAAAUUCGUAGAUAUUGGGAAGAACACCGGUGGCGAAGGCGGCGAGCUGGUCCGUUACUGACGCUGAGGCGCGACAGCGUGGGGAGCAAACAGGAUUAGAUACCCCUGUAGUC
rnacentral:rRNA from 1 species